CGUUGGUGUUUUUAAAGUACCACUAUCCAACACCUGUUCGAAUUAUAAUCCUGAUUUUGAUUAUUCUUAUUCCACUUCCAAUCUAUCAAUCAUCUCAUUAUAUUUGGAAGAAGAACCCUUGAUUCCUUUUCACCUUCAUUUCUCUUCCAAAUCACCGUCGUUAAUUUGUUGUACUUAAUUUGGUGGCUAUAUUACAGACAUCAAUCGAGGAAGCUACAAAACAUGAUAGAGACAGAUCUGGUCUUUUAUUUUUACUAGAAAAGAUGCACGUUGAACUGGAGUAUUGUGUUCAGAUUAGCUAUGCAGCUGCAAUAAUAACAAGAAUCUUACAUCCACAUGUCUUUCAUUUUAUGAUCUAUUAGAGGUAUGGCAUUAUCUUAAACUGUCUCAUAAAAGAGAAAGGAAGGUUGAUUACCUGUAUUCAAAUGUAAUCAUGCAUAAUCUCACUAGGUAGUUGGAGAGUUGAGUUUACUGGAAGAAAAUAACAACAUAAUUAAAAAGGGGUCAUUUUGAUUAUAACACAAAUAUUAGGGAUCUUGUAGAGCUAGAAAAAUGAUAGAUGCCUCUUGGCCGCCUGAUAAGCUUUAUGUCGACAUAACCAAGGUUGUCAAUCUAUCAAGUCAACUCAAUUCUACAAUUCUAUGUAAGAAAAAUGAGUUUUCUCACUUUCAAUCUUGUUUCAUGUUAGAAUCAGGAAGAGUCAUCCUUCAAACUCUUACGAGUUUACUAAUUCAGUCUACGGACGCUUCACGAGUUUAUAAACAAAAACAUGAAUACCCCAUUUUUUUUUUCUCAUUAUUGUAUUCUUGAUUUUUCUUGGCUUUGUGACACUACUCAACCAAUUUAACAUUAUCAUCUCUACGCGAGCUAACUUUUUUGUCGAUUAGUUGUCGUCCUACUUUGAAUCUCAUAUAUCAUUUUAGGUCCUAUAACUAUGCAGUUAAGUGCAUUAUUAGAAUACAUGAACAAUAUCUCAUAAUAUCGAAGGUGUAUCUUAGAGUAAUUUAGACAAUUUAGAUAGAACUGUUUUCCAUAUAUCCUCAUACUUAUGUAAUGAAAAUAAAGUUUUGUGCAAGUAUUAAUAAGGAUUAUCCUGACAUUUGAAAUAACAUCAAUAUAUCAUUUACAUUAAUAUCUCGUAGAAUUUGCGUUGGGCCUAACCCAACCCUAAAAAACCGGCUUGUAAGGUGAGGACUGCCUUUACUUAUAAACCUAUAUCCUGAUGUCCAUGCCUUAUCUCAUCCAAUUUGGGACUCUUAACACACCCCCUCGCGUCCAACACUAUUGAGCUUGGUGCAUGGAUAUAAAUGGUGGGUGGUACUGUAGAGGAAACCUAAUAGAAGGUGGCCCAAUGGAUUUUGAGUUGGGCCUAACUCAACUCUACAAAACCGGCUUGUAAGGAGAGGACUGCCUCUACAUAUAAAUCCAUGUUCAAGGCUUAUCUCAUCCAAUGAUGGUACUCUUAACAAUAUCAAUAUAGUAAUUCAAAAAAAAAAAAAAACUAUCAAUAUAGUUUUAUCGUUCCAAGUGUCAGAAGAUUGGAAAUUAUCUUAUAAUAUCUUGAUAUUAUCCUAGAGUAUCUUGUAGGAUUAGUUUCUUAUCUUAGAAUAUCUCUUAAGAUUAGUUUUAUAUUUUUUUGCUUUAUCAUGAUUUGUUUCCCUAUAAAAAAGAGUUGAUGUUUAGUCUUUUUGUAUCAAAUAAUAAUAAUAAUAAUCAUUCUAAACCAUAUUCGUAAUACAAAGUCUUAGGUCCGUUUGAUUUGUAAAAGAUAAGUACUACAUAGGACAAAACAAUACAUGACAAAGUUUUAAGGUAUUGAACAACUUCUUGUCUUGUAUGAUGUUUUGUGGACAAAAGAUUAUUUUGUUGUUUUAAACAACUUAUAUCUGGGACAAAAAGUUGUCUUGUGGUUUUUUUUUUUUUUUUUGAUAAGCAAGUUGUCUUGUGGUUUAGUGAGGCACAUAAAUAUUUUUGUCCAGUCCCUUACCCCCAAUUUGUCUAGUCCCAUAAAUAGUUUUAAAAUCAAACAUUGUACAACUGAAUUUGUCUUAUCCCUCAUUUUUAGCAGAUCAAAUGCACACUUUAAUUUUUCUCUUUCUGCUUAUCUAAUACCCUAGAACUUCAACUAGUAUAACUGAGGUAGGACAUUGCCUUCACAUUUCAGCCAUCAAAGCUUUUUGUUUCAGUCGGCAUUUGAAGGCCGCGUGUAACCUUCUUACUGCCUGUUCACCACUUCGCUGGUCAAGUUUGGUUUGUGGGAUUUUCUUUGUUUUUUCAAGGCCACUUUUGUCUUGUGGGUCUAAAUAGAAUUUGGUUUUUCCACUAUUAGUAACUUCUGCGGCACCUCCACAUUAUAUGAUCUACCCUUGCUUCUCUGAUCUGACCUAUGGUUUGAUGUGUUUCUUUGAAAACACUGGUUUCUUCGUCUCAGUUGUGGUUUGACACUGGUUUUGUCUCAGUUGUGGUUUGGCACUGGUUUUGUCUCAGUUGUAGUUUGGCAUUCAUUUUGUCUUAAGACACAAGUUAUCCUGUCCCAAUUGUGAUUUAGUCCCAACUUCCCAAUUCAAUGUAAAUUAUAUUAUUUGGUUAUUUUUCUCUUUUGUAAUAUAACAAACUUAUGAAACUUGAGCUGGAGUGUUAAAUGAUUGGAAUAUAUCUUACAAUAUGUUAAUAUCAUUUUAGAUUAUCUUGUAGGAUAAGUUUUUUACAUUAGAGGAGCUUUGAAUAUCUCUCAGGAGCAGUUUCCAUAGUUCUUUGUUUUUAUCUUGUUUUGCUUUACGGAUACAUAUACUAGGAGUAUUAUCCAUGUAUGAUAUCAGAUAUGGGUACAACACAGUGGGCUUUAUAGGCAACACCUAGUGUAUAACAAAAUCAUUAUAUGGUUAUGCAAAUGUUGGGUUUGUUUUGGGAUUUGGUUUUCUGUCAACUAAAAAUGAAACUUAUUAAACUGGUGUAUAGAGGCAUACUUCUUGAUUGUUGGAAAAAAGAGUUCUACAAGCCUUCUAGAUACUUUAUUUGCAAAUUCAGAGAAAUGUAAUGUAAGCCAAAAAUUGUGUUCUCCAGCUGGAGAAUUCUCAUAUAGAUUAUAUUUAAUUACAAGCUGACAAGUUGAGUCUCAGCCCAGAAAUUUAGCUAACUAGUAACUAACUACCAUAUAAACCUAUAUCCUAAUUGAGAAGAGAAUGAAAUAACAUUUACACGGUUGUGGUUUAAACCUGAGGUGUCUUAGUUAAGAAAAGAAACAUUUCCUAUUGUCACUUUUAUUCACAAAACUACCACUCUGUUUUCUCCUGCUUUGUUGUUUUAAAGUAUUUGUGAAGGAGGCAGUGAAAACAAUUUUCACUUUUAUUUACAAUUUUGCUUUCAAAUAUUUGGUAAAAGGAAACAAAGUUAAAAAGGUGUCUGUUUUGCAAAUAAAUGCCAACACAGAAAAUGAAGGGUCUGUUUGUUUUGGAUUUUUUUAAGAAAAAAUCUAUUUUAUCAUUUUGAUAAUGUUUGUUAUAGAUUUUUUAGAAAAUCAUUCUGUAAAAAAAAUCAUUUUUAACCUCAAAAUGAAAAGUUAAUCCUAAUAGCUUUUCAAGAAUCUAUUUUUUUUUUAAAAUUAAGGAACCUAAGUGUAGGAGCUUCCCAUUUUAAAAAAAAAAGAAGAUUUUUUUGACAGUAAACAAACGUAAAGUAGCUUUAGUGUUUUUUUUUUUUUUUUUUUAAAUCUCCAUAAAUGAAUAUCUAGAUUUUUUCAAAACAAAAUCAUUUUUUUAAAGCUUAAUCAAAGGAACCCGAAAUCAUUUUUUAAAAACAAAUAGACCCUUGUAACUUGCAGCGAUGUUUUAGAUUUACCCAAAUCUGUAAUUACUCCCCUAGUUCUGCUUUCUAUCAUUUCAUUUUCUUGCAACAUGGCUUUUAGCAAAUGGAACACUUAAGAUGGUAGGCAGGAGAGGAGGGCCAGUGAACUGUGGUUUGGUAAAAAUCUUCUUUAAAGAUGAAGCAGAGGGCUUAUGAUGAGAGUUUUCUCAGAUAUCGAAACACUGAUAGCAACUGGUACAAAAAUAGGAUUCAUAACUAAAUAACAAUUAAUUUAUUGAAUUAUUCUCUGGGGAAGAGUUUCAAAUCAGAGACAGUAGUACACAGUUAAACACACUUGCACAAAAUUGAAAUUACACAGGACAAGCUAACACAGUCACAGUUUCCACAAGGGUUUGAGAGCCUUGUGUCUCUCCUUUUCCAAAUAAUCACACAAUACUCUAGGAUAACCAACUAUGUUCUGUUCUGACUUUUCCGUAUUUAUUCCUAGUACAACAGAAAAUACACACACACACACAUACACACUAGAAAGUAACUGCUCAUAAAUAGUUACUUACUGACACAGAAAUUGAUACAAAAACUGCCAAGUCAGUUUUGGUUUCCCUUCCUUACAUAGUAUUUUUUAAUGAGAGGUCCAACACACUGCCCAUCUCUCACUAGUAUAAUAUUUAAUAUUGUCCAAAAUCAAUAUGGAUGACCCAGUUCAGUUUGACCCAUGGUCAGGCUUUACUGCUUCCUGGUGGUUUAUUCUACUAAAUAUAUUAUCAAUAGAUCCGUCCCCUCAUGCUGAUAAAUCAUACAAUCAGAUAUUUUUGAAUUCUUAUAGUGGUUGCUCUUGAACCUUGAAGUAUGCUUUAAGACAAAAUUUAUAAUCAUUCUAUAAACAUCAAUGUCCUUUAUUUCAUCCGUGUAAUGUUGAUAACUUGUGCAUUUGCUUUAAAGCCCAUGAACAGCCCUACAAUUACCAUUUUUUUAAAUAUAGACAGGAAUCAUUUGAAUAUUCACGUCACCUAUGAAAAGAUUGGAACUACAGGAAUCAUUUGCUUUCUGUACAUGAUUGGUUCAUAACAAUUUUUGUACUUUAGGAUUGUGGUUUAACAAUUUUUGGGCUACAUAGAUUGGUUCAUAACAAAUCGAAUUUUACUCAUUAUAGGCUUCCUUGUGUAAAAUCUUUAUAUUUUGCCUUCACUGGCCUUCACGGUUCACGCACACGAACUUUGCUUUUCUGAUGAAUUUGAUCUUUAUAGUAAUCCAGGGUUGACCUGUGAGAGUAUAGGCCUAGACUUUGAUAGCCCACCAAAUUGUUCUAUUGCACACCUGAUGCAUCCACAAGAAAAGCAACUUUAUUGUUAUUAUUGGCAAUCUCAUACUAAUUUUAUGUAUAAAAAAUUUGUAAAAUAAUAAGUGCUAUAACAUACCUUUCCACUGUUUUUCCAGUUGUAUUGUUGAUACUGUUAUUUAUUUUAGCCAUUUGAUGUGAUACUGUUGAUGGCCACCCUUUUCAUUAGGUAAGUGUUUUCACUUACUGGCAUAUACUGUUGCUCUUGUGACUUUUCACUAGUGUGAUAGUGAGACCACGGGGAUUGUGCCACAUGACAUGUGGCUAUGUGAUUAACGUUAUACCUUUGAUCGUCAAUAUGUAGGGUUUAGGGCGAAUAUGAAAUGCUGCAACUUUGCUUAGACAUAAUUGUGUGCUAUCAGUCAGUGAUGUCACCCUACAGCUGAGUUCUCUUCCAAAUGGAAUGAGGACUUCCUGGAUUAGUCAAGAAUGAUUGUUUCUACACAACCAUUUGUGCGUUCUCAAACAUAUGGAGACAGUGCCCAUAUACAUGGUAACUUUUUCCUUGUGUAUUUGUGAUGUCAGCUGCGAUAUGCAUACUAAUAAAUGAUUGAAAUUUUGAUCAGAAUAUCAGAUGCUUUAACUAUGUAUAUACUUUUUUGGGUGUGCUUCUAAACAUGAAGUUUUUCCUAUUCCUGGUAGAUAACUUUCUGUUUCUGCUGAAUGUGUGUUAGAUAUAUCCGGAGGAGGCCUAAAUGUAAGUUGUCUACUCCUAUAUUUAUGUUGUAGCAUUAUAUACCUGGCUGAUCAAUACAAGAUUAUUGAGUCACAUUCAGGGAUAUCUCUGUUCCCACGUUAUUGUUUGGCAAUUCAUAUGUAUAAUUCAUUAUGAAGAAUCGCAAGUCAUGCUUAUCGUUUGAGAGGAAUAGAAUAAUUAUCGUGACAGUAUGAACUACACAUGUAUAGGCAGGCACAAAGUAGUUAUGUUCCAAAUUCCAUUAAAUUGAUCAUGAGAGAUGUAGAAAUUAUAUAAAACAACACAAGGCACAAUCAUUGAUAUCUUUAUUUCAUAAAAUUUACAGAGGCAAUCAUUAUGUCUGAUCCUUAAUAGCAAUUGUAAGCUUCUUGAUAGGAAAUAUCAUACUCUAUUCUGUUGAAUUGAACAAUGUGGUUGUUGAACUACAAGAUCCCACACAUAUCAGCAUGAUUAUAUGUUUGAACUGGUUCGUGACAACUUUUCAGAAUUGAAAGCAUAGGUGAUUAUCGAACAGUUCUUGCUAAUGCAGCUGUAAUCUGGUUCAGAAUUUAGGCGUUUAGUUUUUGAAGAAAUUAGAAAGAAAAGGUGUACACUGAAGCUAUAUGUUGUACAUCAUCAGUUUAAGGGAAUACCCUAAUUUCAUGGCUUUGGCUGCUGGUUCACUGUAUUGAGGCUGUGGCUGGCUUAGCUGGAGACUGAUAGGUGCAUGUAAAUCAAAUCCGUUUCUGAUAGUGCAUGAAAGAUUGCUUUUUGCAUUUUCUUCAUUUGUACUCCUUGCUUCAUAAACCUAAUAUCCAAAUCUUUUGUUUAGGUUUAGCACAAGUUAACUUGAAGCUUUUUAGCUUCUAGAUGUAGUAGUAUUUGGCCUAAUGAAAAACAUGUUGUGCAGA